GUACGGGGGAGCAAGCGUUGUUCGGAUUUACUGGGCGUAAAGGGCGCGUAGGCGGCCACCGCAAGUCGACUGUGAAAUCUCCGGGCUUAACCCGGAACGGUCAGCCGAUACUGCGGGGCUAGAGUGCAGAAGGGGCAACUGGAAUUCUCGGUGUAGCGGUGAAAUGCGUAGAUAUCGAGAGGAACACCUGCGGCGAAGGCGGGUUGCUGGGCUGACACUGACGCUGAUGUGCGAAAGCUAGGGGAGCGAACGGG
rnacentral:rRNA from 1 species